UGGGGCUUCACCAUGUUUCAUUGAAAUGUACAGCUGUGUGUCAUAAUGACACAUUUCUGUAAUGAAGGGUGGUGACCCAUAUAGCUAUUGUAGCACUACAGAUCCAUUCCUUAUAACCUGGACAUUAGUUUCUUUCAUGUUAACCUGUUAUUUGUCAUGCCCAAUUUUAACAUGUCUCUGUGGUGUUUGUGUGCAUGUGGUUUCAUCCAUUGCGUUUUGUCUCAUUGUAUUUUCAUCUGAUGGUGUGGUGUUGCCAGAUGCCCCUUUUGGCUCUCCCUUUUUUAAUUGGUCUCUUGGGACAGCUUUCUGCUGCCUCCUGGCCCCUGAUCUACCUGCUUUCCCAGCAGGCAGCCAAUCAGAUUUUCUCACACCUGCCUGGAACAGCUUCAGGUCCUGUUUACAUGUGUGCUAGGGCAUCACUUGUGACUGCGAAACCCACCGGGCAACAUUUAGAGUUAGAUGUUUAAACGGCACAGCAGUUGAACGACUACAGACAAGUGGGAACACUUUCUGCGUAGGAUCCCUUUUAAUGGCGAGGAUCUUUUUGAGUCAAAGAGAAGGUGUUCAUGUAUUCACACGGACAGAGAAUAGUACUGUUUAUUCAAGUGCCAUAAUAUACAUUAAUGCAUUUUAAAGGGGAUAUUAUUCAUGGAUCCAAAAUAGGUGCAUUCUUUCGGGCCAUCGACACAUCAGAGCAGCACCCUGGAGGGCUUAUUGUAUGGCGGCUUCCAUGGUGACAGGGGGGGGGGGGUGGUAUGUGAACCAAGGGAGCAGCCAGUCAGGAGAGGAGAAUUCCACGGCAAGUGUAAGCCCCAGCUAGGCGGAACCAAUUAUGUUUGUCUGUAACCUGGUCCCAGACGUUUCUGACAGCCAAUAGUCAAAGGAGUUGGCUAAAAUCCAUACACUCCUGUAGAAGGGGACUACUUAAUAGCAUAUGCCCCAGGUUUGUGAGCGAUCAAAUAUGUUUUAUUAACAUUCCUAAACAGACAUUGUAUCAGAUUUUUUUUUUGUAAAUAAACAAAUUCGGGAAUUGGAUUGUUUCCAUUUUGAUAGUCCUUUCAGACCAGCACCAUCGACCAACUGGAGCUCUCUAUGCUCACUGCCCCUCUCAGUAACCUGCCCCCAAAGCACCACCAACCAAUCAGCGGGCUUUAAAGACUCCAUCUUCCUGGACUACAAUUCCCAGGGUGCACCAAGGCUCUCCCCUUUGAUGACAUUUGAGUUUGGAGAGUCUGGAUUAGGUAGAGAAGGGAAUUAUGUCAGGGUACAUCAACUAUAUUAAUGUUAGGCAUGUUGAUGGUAAAACUCUGUGACCUGUAAACUGAUGGACUUUUUAGUUGCACUGAACAAAAAAUAUAAACGCAACAUGUGUCUGUUAUAAAGGCCUUUUGUGGGGGAAAAACUCAUUCUGAUUGGCUGGGCCUGGCCAGUGGGGAAAUCCAUAGAUUAGGGCCCAGUUUAUUUAAAUUGACUGAUUUCCUGAACUGUAACUCUGUAAAAUCGCUUAAAUUGUUGCAUAUUGAGUUUAUUUUUGUUCAAUAUAUAAUAAUGCUAUGGUAAAUGUAAGCAUUUUAUGAUUAUUCCUCGUGACUACUUGUUUUGUUCCACAGUUUGCCAUGGUUGUUAUGAUAUCAGUAUGUGCACGUAGUUUAGAAUUUCAAGUUUUAAUGUCAUGUGCACAAGUACAGUGAAAUGCCUUUCUUGCAAGCUCUAAACCCAACAAUGCAGUAAUCAAUAACAAGAUGUAUAUGUGUUUGUGAUUAUAUUGUACACAGUAAGUGCCAGGAAAUGUGUGUGUGCAAGAUUAAAUAAGCCAAACCCACCCCAAA